UUUCCAGGAGCUGCGGCUGCGGGAUCCGGGCGCGGCCGUGGAGGAGCAGCUGGAGGGAGCCCGGCGCCGCCUCAGCCAACUGCAGCUGAAAAUCCUGCAGGAAUCGCAGGGAUCCGCGGAUCCGGGGUCCCCGCGGCUCCGGGCUGGAUUUUCCGGGAAUUCCCAGGACGGGGAGGAGGGGCCGGAACCCGAGCGGAUCCCAAAGCCCGGAGAGAGCAGCUCCAGGAAGGAGAAGGAGCAGAAGCAGAAUCCGAUCCUGAAAUACAUCGGGAAACCCCGGGGCGGCUCCCAGAGCG